rnacentral:misc_RNA from 1 species
AUUUAUAUCAAUUCAUUUAGGUACAAACAGAUGGAAAGACAAUGAAAACAAAAUAUUUACAUUAUUAUAUAGAUUCAGUAUCGAUUAUUAUGGAGUACCCUCAAAAAUACUUCUGAAAUAUUAAAUUUUUCGUACGUACUUACAGAUAAGUUCUGUUACAGUUCUUUUUAUAAGAAUAGAUGCUAUGUUAUACAUUUCUGAGCUUAAAUACAUUCAAAAUGAUUUCCUUUUAUAGGCAAAUAUCAAAAUCAAAAUAGCUUUAGUCAAGAGCGCCUUUGAAGCUUCAUCUUACAAAUAAAUAUUUUAAUUGUUGUUGCAAGUGAAGCUACCACCGAUUAAUCGGCUCGGUUGCCGGAUAAAUCGACAAGAAUCUCCGCAUUAACUCUUUUUAAACAAAUAAACUGUAUUUCAUACAAAAUUGGUAAUAUUUUGCAUGAAAUACAUCGUCACUAAGUCCACUUACUUACUAAAAAUUAUUGGUUGAAUCGCUAUCUUGAGUAGUUAGUUAUCUUUAGGAGCUCAUUAAAAAUGGUUAUUAAAACCUCCUUUAUGAAGCUUUACCAAAAAAAAAUCCUUAAAAUUAUAUGUGAGUAUAUAAUGUUAAUGUAACAUUAUAUUACUUAUACAAAUUACUUUUAAAAACAUUGUUUGUAAUUUAAUUAUGUAUUGUCGAUGUUCAAUAACGUUUGAUAGUAUAUUUGAUAUAUGUUUUAAAUUGUUUAAGUAAUAUGUAAUUGUGUUUAUGACAUUGUAAUAAAAGUUUGCAAAGAAAAAUUGUAA